GAAGGGAGGAAGUUCUUGCAGUUUCAGAGCUUUUAACCCUUCGCUUCCCGGAGACAGCAGAGAUGGGAGGGAGGUGACAGGGAGUUGAUUGCCUUGGAAAGAGGUGGAAGGAAAUUCACUUUCCCUUCUCCUUUGAUUUCUGUGGCUUUGAACUGCUACCACACACCCACCUGGCACUGAAGAGGAAAUGUCACAUUUGGAGAAACAUCUGCAUCCUUCUUCUGAUGCAUCAAGAGUGACAGAUAAUCAAUUGUAUUUCACACAGUCCAGGCUUGCUGAGGCAAAUUCUUGCCGUGCAGUUAACUCCCCCUGUUUUUAAAACUGGGGGGAAAAAAAGGAUGUAUUGAUUUUAUGAUGCCAACACCAUUAUUUUUUAGCUGAUAAAUGCUGAUAGCAGCCUCAAGUUUCCAGGCUUUUAUGUUCUCCAGCACUGCAGGAAAAAUAAAAACCACCAGGCUUUGCCCAUGAAUCAGCCUGCUGGAUAAUAAAACAAAGCAAAACACUUUUAAAUGAUCAGGUAGAAAUCCAAGUGAAGAAAGGGGAAGAAACUAUGACUAGUAUGUGAUAGCUGAAAAUAUUUUCAAAACUUAAUUUCCUUAUUAUCCCUAAAGUCCUGACUUCCUCAGAAGAGCUGAGUCCUUGCAGGUUGAGUGUGAUACUUCUGGGACAGUGUCUUUGGAUGCAAUGGUGUUGUGCCAUAAGGGAUGAUGGGCAGGGCUGUAACUGGUGCAGGGAGAUGGAUCUUCCUCUGAAAUUUGUGCCUGAAGCAAAUCUCUGAACCCCAGUUUGAGUAUACUUCAUUGCCACAGGAUUAUUUCCCUGGAAAGGUCUUUAAAUUUUGCUGUUCAAGUGCAAUGCCCCUUCCUACAAAGAGGGAAAAGACACUGGGAAUUGCUCCAGCUCACAUUGUCUCCCAGUGCUAACUGCAUCACUUCAGCUGCACAAACCCAAAAACACAAAACCCCACCAGUUUUCACUUUCCAUCCUCCCAAGAGGAGCUUGGUGUGUUUUGCCAGAGUAUCAUUUGGGCUCUGGUUCACAGUUGCUAUACAAGUUUUACAAGUUCAAAGCAGAGAAGUCCAAAAGUGCUACCCAGCUUUGUGCCUGCGGCGGAAGGUGGAGAAACCCAAGAGGAGUGGAAGACCUUUGUCUUGGCAGGACCAUGUGGAUUCCUGAGCUGUUGACUGGCUGCAAGCUCUCAAAUGGAGGCCAGAGAUCAACACCUUAGAGACUGGGAGAGGAAAAACAACUCAAGGGCUGUGAAGUAGCAAGAUGCUUAAAAGCUGCUUUGAAAAAAAACAAAAAAACCAAAAAAAAAAAAAAAAAAAAAAAAAAAAAAAAAAAAAAAAAAA